UGGAUUAAGAGCUUGCUCUUAUGAAGUUAGCGGCGGACGGGUGAGUAACACGUGGGUAACCUGCCCAUAAGACUGGGAUAACUCCGGGAAACCGGGGCUAAUACCGGAUAACAUUUUGAACCGCAUGGUUCGAAAUUGAAAGGCGGCUUCGGCUGUCACUUAUGGAUGGACCCGCGUCGCAUUAGCUAGUUGGUGAGGUAACGGCUCACCAAGGCAACGAUGCGUAGCCGACCUGAGAGGGUGAUCGGCCACACUGGGACUGAGACACGGCCCAGACUCCUACGGGAGGCAGCAGUAGGGAAUCUUCCGCAAUGGACGAAAGUCUGACNGAACAACGCCGCGUGAGNGAUGAAGGCUUUCGGG
rnacentral:rRNA from 1 species